UUUAUCGUCAACAAAACUAUUGUCUGCUUUGCGGUUCCUUCUCGGAUUGAAAUUCGUCAUAUUCAAUGGCUAACCGUCUUCAUCGCGGAACCUGAAAUCAAUAAUUCAGUAAAACCCUAACAGGCAAACCCUAAAAUCUAAGAUAUUAAAGAGGAAACAGUAGGAUCGUUUUCGUACCCAUAAUGAAUGAAUGAAUUUAGACUGCAAUUGUGAUUGUGAAGAUAGAUUUGUUUGUUAAUUCUGGAUUGAAGAAGAUCAGAGCGAAGAGAGAAUGAAGAGACUAAGAUAGAGAAGAGGAGAAGAGGCUGGGUACACUCGACCAACCAAUGAAGAUGGAAAGACUUCUACUACAAGUCUACAAGGUUUUCAGUGAAAGUAACAUAAAAUUGUACUCCCUUUCUGAGAAAUUAAGAAUACAUUUUAAAAUUUUAGAUUAAUUUAUGAAGCUUAAAAUUUAUAAUUAGCAC
rnacentral:lncRNA from 1 species